rnacentral:lncRNA from 1 species
AAAGACCGAGUAGAUUAGAUUCAAACCGACUUGUAACUCUUGGUCGUCAGACUAUAUAAGGUGGCCAAGGGAGCCCUUGGGGGUAACUCAUCUCAACUCAUACCAAGCAAUACAAUUCAUGCAUAUAGGACGUAGGGUAUUACUCUUGGGAGGCCUGAACCUAUCUAAAACCCUCAUGUCCCUUCAUGUUCUCAUGAUAACCUUCGAGUUCUUGAUCUUGCAAUCACCCUCAC